GACGAACGCUGGCGGCGUGCCUAAUACAUGCAAGUUGAGCGCUGAAGGUUUGUACUUUUACCAACUGGAUUAGCGGCUAACGGGUGAGUAACGCGUGGGUAAUCUUCUUUUUAUCGGGGGACAACAUUUUGAAACGAAUUCUAAUACCGCAUAAUAACUUUAAACACUGGUUUUAAGUUUUAAAGAUGCCUUUGCAUCACUCAUAGAUGAUCCCGCGUUUUAUUAGCUAGGUGGUGGGGUAAAGGCACACCAAGGCGAAGAUACAUAGCCGACCUGGGAGGGAGAUCGGCCAAAAUGGGAAUGAGAAAAGGCUCAAAAUCCUAAGGGGAGCAGGAGUAGGGGAACUUCGGAAAAGGACGAAAGGCUGAACGAGGAAAGCCGGGGGAGGGAAGAAGGUUUUCGGAUUGGAAAACUCUGUUUGUAGAGAAGGAAGUGGGGGAGGGUGAAAAGCUCAUGAAGUGACGGUAACUAAAGAGAAAGCGACGGCUAACUACGUG
rnacentral:rRNA from 1 species